rnacentral:lncRNA from 1 species
ACCAUCGUCGUCCUUAAUUGUUCCUGCGUCUUCCACCACCACCACCACCUCCACCACCUGUCAAGCCGAGCGACGAGAAGAGAAGGGAAGAGAGAAGAGAUCGACCAUGGCCGCGGAAGGCGAGAGGUGGGUGGGCCUGGCGGUGGACUUCUCGGAGGGGAGCCGCGCGGCGCUGCAGUGGGCGGCGGACAACCUGCUCCGCUCCGGCGACAACCUGCUCCUCCUCCACGUCCUCAAGGACCCCGACUACGAGCAGGGCGAGACCCUCCUCUGGGAGGCCUCCGGCUCGCGUGCGUACCAACCAAACUCAUCAUCCUCUCCCUCCCUAGUCCCCCUUCUCUUGCUACUGUAACCGCAGCCAGUUGCGUGCCUGUCUGCCCGCUUGCUGCUCUUGAUCUUAGUUUCUUGUCGCGCCCACCAAUCGCCCCGACCCGUGCUAAAAUUCCGACCUGUAACAGCCGCGUAUGUUCGGCGCAAGGGGUAGCAGUUGCCAUGGUCCCUGCGCGUGUGUUCGUGCUGAUUACCUUGCUUGUCAGCUGCCUUGUUACCGUGCUUGGUUUUGAUUCAAUUUAAGAGGG